UUCCGGUUGAUCCUGCCGGACCUGACUGCUAUCGGAUUGAUACUAAGCCAUGCGAGUCAUUGUAGCAAUACAAGGCAGACGGCUCAGUAACGCGUAGUCAAUCUACCCUAUGGACGGGAAUAACCUCGGGAAACUGAGAAUAAUGCCCGAUAGAACAUUAUACCUGGAACGGUUUAUGUUUCAAAUGAUUUAUCGCCGUAGGAUGGGACUGCGGCCUAUCAGUUUGUUGGUGAGGUAAUGGCCCACCAAGACUAUUACAGGUACGGGCUCUGAGAGGAGUAGCCCGGAGAUGGGUACUGAGACACGGACCCAGGCCCUAUGGGGCGCAGCAGGCGAGAAAACUUUGCAAUGUGCGAAAGCACGACAAGGUUAAUCCGAGUGGUUUCUGCUAAAGAAACCUUUUGCUAGUCCUAGAAACACUAGUGAAUAAGGGGUGGGCAAGUUCUGGUGUCAGCCGCCGCGGUAAAACCAGCACCUCAAGUGGUCAGGAUGAUUAUUGGGCCUAAAGCAUCCGUAGCUCGUUUUGUAAGUUUUCGGUUAAAUCCAUACGCUUAACGUAUGGGCUGCCGGGAAUACUGCAUAACUAGGAAGUGGGAGAGGUAGACGGUACUCGGUAGGAAGGGGUAAAAUCCUUUGAUCUAUUGAUGACCACCUGUGGCGAAGGCGGUCUACCAGAACACGUUCGACGGUGAGGGAUGAAAGCUGGGGGAGCAAACCGGAUUAGAUACCCGGGUAGUCCCAGCUGUAAACUAUGCAAACUCAGUGAUGCAUUGGCUUGUGGCCAAUGCAGUGCUGCAGGGAAGCCGUUAAGUUUGCCGCCUGGGAAGUACGUACGCAAGUAUGAAACUUAAAGGAAUUGGCGGG
rnacentral:rRNA from 1 species